CCGGCACCCGUACCCAGCGUUCGCCGGGUGGGAAAAUCAGGCAAGGCGGGAGGCUCUGCACGGUGCUAGGCCUCGACACCCAACACGCCACUCUGAGAACCAAGAAUAUAAAGAGACCAGCUGGACACAGGAGUAGCCCCCAUGAGUGAAGUAAAUACAGAGCGCUUCGGGAGGGCUCGGCACCACGUGACGUGCCGCCCCACGCAGCUUGCGCCGCGUGACACGGAUCGCACGAAUGCGCUGUCCAACCAAGUUCCUACCUGCCCACUCCGAAGGAAC